rnacentral:rRNA from 1 species
GGAACGACUCUCGGCAACGGAUAUCUCGGCUCUCGCAUCGAUGAAGAACGUAGCGAAAUGCGAUACUUGGUGUGAAUUGCAGAAUCCCGUGAACCAUCGAGUCUUUGAACGCAAGUUGCGCCCGAAGCCAUUCGGCCGAGGGCACGCCUGCCUGGGCGUCAC